AUUUGAAACAUACCUCAUUAUGACUUGGCGUUGUCGGUAAUACUCUCUGUGGAAAACCAGGCCUUGGUGCCAUGUAUACAGAUGGUGAUGACAAAAGGCAUGGAAGUUGAGUAUCGCGUACGCCAUAACGUCGUGGACUUUCAGAAUAUUGUGCUAUUGGUAAUUCACCAAUUACUCUUGUUACUUUGUGAUUAUGUUCUGAAGAUGAUAAAACAAGCAAAUAAAAAUAGGCACCUUAAAAAAUUCUGAAGUAUUACGAUGAUAUGCCGUUGUUGGGCUCGGUGUACUUCCAAUGCUAGAACUUAAGGGUUCUGGAGGAAUGCGACCUCUUUGAGAUUCCUCAAUUUCGAGGCUUAAAUUAGUUGGUGUAACUUGAUUGGUAUUAUUAGAAGUUAAGUCUAGUCGCAAAUUUUGCCAAUUAUCAUCAAUGUCAUCAAAGACAACUACUUCACCAUCACUAACGAUAGCCAUGCUUCUUGCUGGCGUAGUGUGAUUUGAUUGAUAAUCUAUGCAGCUUUUUGACAAUCCAUAAUCAAGAUCCGCAGUAUUUUUUGAUAUACCAUAUUCUACAUUAUUGCUAUUCAAAAUUGAGUCAUAGUUAAUAAUACGAUUGCUGUGAUUGCUCUUAGGGGAAUCAUAGUCAAUAGAUUUUGUUGGAUUAUGUCGCACCGAAUGUAUUUCUGAAGAAAAUACAGUUUCUGUGACUUCUCUAUUAGAACGCUGCUUUCUUGUAUCACCGCAUCUAAAAUUUCAGUCAUAUAUAAUUUGUAUUAUUAUAUACAAUCCUCCAUUAGGAAAAUAAUACACAACUAAUUUAUUAAAUAUGAUAGUCGUAUGAAUAAAUGAAAUUUUUCUUGUUCAAUUUUAUCAUAUAUUUUGUGUAUUAGAAGUAGAUAAUAGUUUUCAAAUUACCGGCUUCUUAAUUCCCAUAUAGUUUGAGUGUUUGGUGAUUUAUUAUUUCUUUUAACUGAUAGCUUGUUAUCUGUUUGAAUGUCUUCAUUAUUUAAGGAAUUUGAUGCCGCAAGAAAGCGUGAUUUUCUAGCUGCUACUUUACCUCGACUCUGAGAAAAAACUUCUCGUCCACCAGCAAUUUCUAUAAUUCUAAAAAAAUAAUAAAUAUUUAAAUUAACGUUUAAAAUACUAUUUGUAAAAACUACUUUUUAUAAAUUAAAUUGUUAUAUAGUAAGUUAAAAAUAUAUAUAUAAAAAUAUAAAACAAUAGAUUUGUAGAAA
rnacentral:misc_RNA from 1 species